CGAAUGGCGUAACGACUUCCCCGCUGUCUCCAACGCAGACUCAGCGAAAUUGAAUUCCCCGUGAAGAUGCGGGGUUCCCGCGGUCAGACGGAAAGACCCCGUGCACCUUUACUACAGCUUCACACUGGCAUCAGGCCAGGCAUGUGCAGGAUAGGUGGCAGGCUUUGAAACAGGGACGCCAGUUCCUGCGGAGCCGUCCUUGAGAUAUCACCCCUUGCCUUGCCUGAUGUCUAACCGCGGACCGUCAUCCGGUUCCGGGACCUGUGUGGCGGGUAGUUUGACUGGGGCGGUCGCUCCAAAAGUAACGGAG
rnacentral:rRNA from 1 species